GGGGCGCUCAGGGUGCAUCAUUCCUGGAAGGGAUGAAGGAGUAUUGGGGAGUAUUUCUAGGAGGCGGGCUGGGUGGUCCUUGGGGCGCUGCCGAAAGCGCAGUGCUGUGAUACACUGCAGGUCGCAGUACAGCGACGUUCACAAAAAAAGCCUGUCAAGACUGAUUUAAAGGUUGUGCCCAGGAACAGCUGCCUGUGUUUUCCUGGGAUCCACCAACACAAGCAAGCAUGGACAUGGACUAGUGCAUGGACAGGACAAGAUGCAGAAUUGUCUUGGCUAAUUUCCUGGGCAAACAGACUGUGCAUCUUUAUGCAGAAGGAAACAGAGGGAAGUGAGAACUGUGAAGGACUGCUGCCUCAGAGCUGCUGUUACCAUAGAGCUGCUAACGAGGAAAAAACUGCAGCAUGGAUUUCUUGUGCUGUUGAAGCCAACUGGUCUGUUAUGGCUCCUGUGAUAAGUGCAUCCAGUGGAAAGUGGAGAGGCAUCCACCAAAUUCAGACAGUGCUUCUAAUAAAUAUAUUUUUGCUCUUCACUUUUAAAACCAAUAUAAUUCUUUGGCAUAUCUCUGGAUUCUGCAGAGAAUUCUGAUUCUCUGUGGCUCAGUUUGAACUGAAACAGUAAGGUAAGUAAUUUAAUGCCUGAUCUUCAACCCACAGAUCAGCACUUUUCUCUUCAUGGCAGAAGAGAAAAGAAUCUCUGUCAAGUUUCAAAUCCCUGUUACUCCAUAUUAGUAGGAGUUACUUCUUUGGAGCUUAUGGUUGAGUCUUCACUGAGUAGCAGACUGAAACCAGUGCAGGAACAGCAGUACUACCAGUACUGCAGAAAGAUACCUUACCCAAUUAGGAAAACCUUCCCUCUUUCCUUCUUGAAGCAGCCUCCCUCUUCUUUUAGAAUGCAGUAGAAACAUUUUGUUAUUAAUUACAUUUUACCAAAUGAACUUCACUUAAAGCUUGAUUAAAACUGUGGAAGCUGAAUUAUACUAAUGUAGUGUUGUAAACACAGCAGCAUUAGGAGUUGUGUGUGAGUAGCUGGUUAUAGAAUU